rnacentral:rRNA from 1 species
GACGAACGCUGGCGGCGUGCCUAACACAUGCAAGUCGAACGGAAAGGCCCUGCUUUUGUGGGGUGCUCGAGUGGCGAACGGGUGAGUAACACGUGAGUAACCUGCCCUUGACUUUGGGAUAACUUCAGGAAACUGGGGCUAAUACCGGAUAGGAGCUCCUGCUGCAUGGUGGGGGUUGGAAAGUUUCGGCGGUUGGGGAUGGACUCGCGGCUUAUCAGCUUGUUGGUGGGGUAGUGGCUUACCAAGGCUUUGACGGGUAGCCGGCCUGAGAGGGUGACCGGCCACAUUGGGACUGAGAUACGGCCCAGACUCCUACGGGAGGCAGCAGUGGGGAAUAUUACACAAUGGGCGGAAGCCUGAUGCAGCAACGCCGCGUGCGGGAUGACGGCCUUCGGGUUGUAAACCGCUUUCGCCUGUGACGAAGCGUGAGUGACGGUAAUGGGUAAAGAAGCACCGGCUAACUACGUG